rnacentral:rRNA from 1 species
GGGUCUAGUGGCGCACGGGUGCGUAACGCGUGGGAAUCUGCCCUUGGGUCCGGAAUAACUCUCCGAAAGGAGUGCUAAUACCGGAUGAUGACGUAAGUCCAAAGAUUUAUCGCCCAAGGAUGAGCCCGCGUAAGAUUAGGUAGUUGGUGAGGUAAAGGCUCACCAAGCCGACGAUCUUUAGCUGGUCUGAGAGGAUGAUCAGCCACACUGGGACUGAGACACGGCCCAGACUCCUACGGGAGGCAGCAGUGGGGAAUAUUGGACAAUGGGCGAAAGCCUGAUCCAGCAAUGCCGCGUGAGUGAUGAAGGCCUUAGGGUUGUAAAGCUCUUUUACCCGGGAUGAUAAUGACAGUACCGGGAGAAUAAGCCCCGGCUAACUCCGUGCCAGCAGCCGCGGUAAU